rnacentral:rRNA from 1 species
UACAGAGACCUCAAGCGUUAUCCGGAAUCAUUGGGCGUAAAGCGUACCGAUAGGUGGUUGUAUAAGUCAGAUGUGAAAUCUCCGAGCUCAACUCGGAAUCUGUCAUUUGAAACUAUACAACUAGAGGGGCAAAGAGGAAGCUGGAACGAACGGUGUAGUAGUGAAAUGCGUUGAUAUCGUUCGGAACACCAAUAGCGAAGGCGGGCUUCUGGGUGCCACCUGACACUGCUAGGACGAAAGCGUGGGGAGCAAACAGG